CACUCUUGGGCAUAAAUAAGCUAAUACAAAAGAAUAAGGAAGCCUCCAUAUUACCCAGAGAAGAGAUAGUAAAAUUCCUCUUUGAAUCGUGUCUAAAGUCACAACU
ensembl:snoRNA